AUUUGGCAAGGAAUAUUGAUAAUCUUUGUGAAGUUUCAUUUAUUUUGCUGCAUGUGAUGUAAGAAAUCAAGAGAGUUUUUAUACUUUGUCCUGAGCAAUUUUCUCUAACUGUGUAAAUAAGUUCGCAGCUCCAAACAGAGCUGCGAUCGCAUUCUGGAUUUCAUCAAAAAGUACAAUACUACAACCCCAAGGUAGGAGGUAUUUAAAAUGUCAAACUUCGGAUUUGGUACGAAGUUUGCCCUCCGUAUGUUCAACAAUUAGAUUAAAACUACUCGGCUGACAUCGAAAAACCAUCUUUUCUGUUCGAGCCAUUGGACGAAAUAGUAGUGCGCGGCGUGAUAAAUUCUGAAUUUUCUCCGGGUGGGAGCGUUGCCAAAAUGGCGUUUAAAUAGUUUAUUAACUCAAUUAUGUGUUUUGUAUAGAAAAAUUCCUAGGUGCUAAAAAGUUAAAACUUAAAAAUAGUACGGCAGUUAAAAUAGUACGGCGAAGAAAAUAGUACGGUUGGUGUAAAUUAUCACUAAAUAUUGUAAAUAGUUAUAUAAUAAGUGUUUCUAUUGUAGUACGUCAAAAAUCGAGUUCGCUAUUGUUAAGAAUUGCUAUUGUGCUAAAAUCUUUAUUGUGAUCAGCAAAAUCGGAAAAAGGUCCUUAUCAAGGGCCUUUUUCUUUUCCAUCAUUCCGGAACUAGUUCCGGGUAUUUCCGCAGGAAUCUCCGGUGUCAUCAAGGUUGGCUAUUUUGCGCACUCGAUUGGAAAACCACUAGCCAUUGUGGUCGUCCGACCCGUUAGAAGUUCGACAGAAAAGUUCCCAGCCAACCGAUAGGAGUAUUAGUGUCGGCCAUUUUCUACGGCAUCCAGACAAUUGAAAGCCGUGCCCCACAAUACUCCAUCGUUGAGCCGCAAUACCGUGAUUCCCAGACCUGUGACUGCAAGAUCGCCGCUUUGAACCGACACCCUCUGUAAGCCAUCCCGUUCAUCAACGCUUGGGCCCCGCCGGCCCGUUUGUCAAGUUUCGGAGUAGCAGCUCCCCCGCUAGACCGUCGCAAUCCGCACCAUUCAUCAACGUUGCGGCACCGGCGGCCAUUUUGCUAGGAUAGCAGCGUCGGAGCAUCCGCUCACCUGCUAGGCACCCACAAGACACCACAUUCCGUCAACCCACCCUGCAACCACCUCUGCAUGCAUCAAAGCGACCAGGAUCCGCACCAAGGCAUGACGAUGCCCUCGGCAAGUACUCCCUUAGAAAUUGUGACGUCAGAUAGGGCCCUAUUGGGCAAAUAAAACCAAUAAUGUAUUAA
rnacentral:lncRNA from 1 species